GGAAACGGGUUAAUAUUCCCGUACCGGAUGUGGUUGCGAUGGGGGGACGAAGAAGGCUAGGUGAGCCAGGCGUUGGUUGUCCUGGUGAAAGCAUGUAGGCCGAGGAAUCAGGCAAAUCCGGUUCCUCUGAGGUCGAGAUGCGAGACGAACUGACCACGGUCAGGAAGUCAUCGAUGCCACGCUUCCAGGAAAAGCCUCUAAGCUUCAGACCACAUGCGACCGUACCCCAAACCGACACAGGUGGUCAGGUAGAGA
rnacentral:rRNA from 1 species